CCUCCGUAUGCCCACGAGGAUUAAUGACAUGGCAUUAGCACUGAUAAUCAUAAUGAAGAGAGCUGUCUGAGAGUAGGGCAACCCAACCCUGAUGUUCAGGAGGAAACCAGAAUUUCAAAAGGCCUCCCCAGUGACUUGAAUUUGAAGAGAGCUGCAGGGUCGUAGCUCAGUGGAAAGCUUAGCAUGACAGUGAAGUCCCUAAGCAGGGACUACUCUUUUCAAAUAAGGAAACCUAAAAAUAAAAGCUGUCUGCAGCUGGGACUGUGUGCCAAGACAACUAUCACUGAAAUGCAGAGGCCAAGAAAUCUACUCUGAUGCCCUUCUUCACCUGUCACAGAGCCAACCCUUGGAGGUUCAACAACAACACUGCAAAUUAUUCCUCCUGAUAAUGAAGUAAGAUACAG